GACGAACGCUGGCGGCGUGCCUAACACAUGCAAGUUGAGCGACGAACCAGGGCUUGCCCUGGGGCAAAGCAGCGAACGGGUGAGUAACACGUGGGUAACCUACCCCGAUAACCGGGACAACCCGCGGAAACUCGGGCUAAUACCGGAUGUGCUCACUGGACUUCGGUUCAGUGCGUAAAGGAAGCUUCGGCCUCCGUAUCGGGAGGGGCCCGCGGCCCAUUAGUUUGUUGGUGAGGUAACGGCUCACCAAGACCGCGAUGGGUAGCUGGUCUGAGAGGACGAUCAGCCACACUGGGACUGAGACACGGCCCAGACUCCUACGGGAGGCAGCAGUAGGGAAUCUUGCGCAAUGGGCGAAAGCGUGACGCAGCAACGCCGCGUGGGGGAAGAAGGCCUUCGGGUUGUAAAACCCUUUCAGGAGGGAAGAACGUUCGGCGGUGUAAAGCUGCCCGGACUGACGGUACCUCAACAGGAAGCCCCGGCUAACUACGUG
rnacentral:rRNA from 1 species